rnacentral:misc_RNA from 1 species
GUUCAGUCUUCCCAGGCCCACCACUUUCAUCGAGUGAGCAUUCGUCUUCUGGUUACGGGGCCAUAGCUCAGCUGGGAGAGCGCGUGCUUUGCAAGCAUGAGGUCGUCGGUUCGAUCCCGUCUGGCUCCACCAGAUGGUUUGAUCGCCGAGAUCUUGCACCGUCGUCCGCGAAACAUCACUUCGCAUCCUGCUAGUCUGGAUAGACAGCAAGAUGCGUGUUUUCUGACAUCGUAAAGAGGAGAUCGAUCCGAGUUGGGUCGUGCAGCAGAUUGUUGCGCGAAUCCUUCAUUAUCUCCGGAUCAUUUUCGGCGCUCGCUUUCAGCCGUGAGGUUGAAUGCGAGUUGUAAAAUGAUCCUUUUAGCGAAGCUUGACCGCCUCGCUAUCGGAACGAUCUUACGAAGCAAGCUGGUCUUUCUAGUCAAUGUCCGGCUGCAGAUAGCGUUCGUCGAGGGCGCGUGCCGCAAGGCAAUUCUGCAGACAACAUUCUGCCGAGUGUGUGGACAUUGAUAAUGAGAGCAAUCAAGUGCCUUAAGGGUGUUCGGUGGAUGCCUUGGCGCUGAGAGGCGAUGAAGGACGUGCUACGCUGCGAUAAGCCGUGGGGAGCUGCGAAGAAGCUUUGAUCCGCGGAUUUCCGAAUGGAAAAACCCGGGA